AUGUCCACUCCCAGGACCAACGUGGCACCAAGGAUGGGCCGGGGGGUGCCGGGGUCACCCUGCCAUGGUGCUGCCCAUGCCAGGGACCCACUGUGGUGCCCAGACUCCCCGUCCACCCCACCUGUCCCAGGUGCCAGGCUGGGGAGGAAAGGGCACAGGGUUGUUCUGGAAAGCUGCUCUGAGGGGUUUCACUGUAAUUGGGGUGAAACUCAGAGGUGCUCCCUGUGCUGUGACUGUGGAUGGGAAGCAAGGCCAUGGGGUGAUGCUCGUGGGGGCUGUGGCAGCGGGGACCCCCCUCAACUGUCACACAAGUGUUCCUAUGCAAAGGCGGCCGGUGGAAGCAGUGCCUGGAGAGAAGCCAUGGCCCGAGCUGGGCUCAGCCCCCUGGGCACUGCCCUGCAGGGGCAGCAGGACAGACCUGGGGUGGGGAGCAGGCCCCUGGUGUUGCCGUGUGCUGGGGAGGGGGUUGAUUUUGGGGGGGAAGUGGAGAGCCCCCUCCUGCAGAGGCCAAGUGAGCACAAGGUGAAGGCUGUGAGGGCCUCGGGGUGCUGCUGGUCCCAUGGGUGCUCCGGGGCAGGGGCUGAUCCUGGUGGGAGCUGUUCCCAUGCUUUCAGGGCAUCGUGGCUCUCUGACUUGGCACGUGUGUGUGUGUGUGUGUGUGUGUGUGUGUGUGUGUGUGUGUGUGUGUGUGUGUGUAUGUGUGUGUCUUUUGGGGGUCCCCCUGUGUACCCUCUCCUUCCCAAGCUGUGUGGACCUGCAGCUGAGGGAGGUGGUGGGCAAUGCUGGACCCUCUUCUGGCAGGGACUGUGCUGGGGGGCACCCUGCACCCCAAACCCUGCACCCCAAACCCUGCACCAGCAGCUGGGCUGGGCAGGGGUGUGUGUGGGGCCCUGCCCAGCCUGUCCCUCUGUGUCCCCCAGGGGGUGGGCAGGGGGGUGGGCUGCCCUGGCACCCUCCUGGUCCCCCCAGCUGGGACUGCUGAGCCAAGCUCUGUCUGUAUUUUUGUUUGUCGAUCUGUUUUCUCUCUUUCCAACUCUUUCCUCCUCGGGAUGA
rnacentral:lncRNA from 1 species